UGGGGGGAGCGUGGUGGAGUUCUUCAAUCUGUCGGUUCAUCUCCUGGAGCCUCCGAUCCAGAAAAUUCUCUCGACUACGGGUCUCGAGGGUUGUCUGGCAGAAUGGGGGUAGAGAUCUUCCAGGGGUGGAAUCGUGGUCCGACUGAGGGCUCUCCACCCUCGGAUUCAUCUUUUCGAGAAAGAUGGGGUGGCUGGCCCAAGUGGCCCACCCUACCGUCGGAUUCU
rnacentral:lncRNA from 1 species